AUUCAUGGUCCUGUGUUUCUAUUACAGUGGAGAUAAGAUAUUCCCUGUUCAGGCCCAGAAUUUUUCUGCUGUGGUGUUUGGCUGAAAUAAAUGUAACUUUCUGUGAUACUGUUUGCUAUUCAGUUGCUUUUUCUUGAGGUUUCUGUCAUCUGUUUUUAUUUUUUGGCCUGUUGACAUCCUUCUGAACAGUGUAUAGUCAACCCUUGAGCUUAUCAUCUGUUGUCUCUACCCUCCAGCUUUUCACCUGCUCCCCACUGGCUUGGUAUAGUUGGCAAACUUGCUGAGUGCACUCUUACCUAUUGUCUGUAAUAAUAAUAGAAACACUAAAACAGUAAUGACACCAAUAUUUACUGCAAGAAACAUGUAAUAAUUAGGAUUUUUGUGCCACCAAUCAUAACCCUUUGAACCUCAAUGUGUUCCAUGUCUGCCAUGCCAGACCUCAUCAUGAAGAGCUAACUGUGGUUAUGCACCAUCAACUCUUCAGUAAAUCUGCGCUGGAUGUUACAACUGCUUCGUGAUUCUUGUGCCUGGGUAUUGGAUGUAGGGAGGAUUUGCUCUGUAAUCUCCCCAGGAGCUUGAGGACAGGAUGGUCUUACCAGUCAGUAAUUUCCAAGAUCCUCCUGGCCCUUCAAUAUAAAUGUCACUUUCAAAACUUUCAGUCAUCUGGAACAUCCCUCUACUUCAGUGAGAUUCUCAAAAUGAUAGCUCCUUGAUUGCAGUGCUGCCCCCUUCUCACUGAGCUCCCUUGGAUGCACGCACCUGGUCCUGUGGACUGCUUCAUAAGCAAAGGUGCUGUGAUUAUUGGAACUGAUCUAAACAUAAAAACAGGAAAUCCAAAUUUGGUGGAAGACUAAAUUGCUUUUGACCUAAGUUAAUAGUACCUGCAGUGGAAAUCAUUAGAAGCUAUUGCAGGUAAUUUUUGUGUGCUGUUCAAGGAGAUGCAGUCCAUGAAGUCUGUGCUUCUGGAACUUAGCUGUCUAGUGCAAGCUUGACAGAACACAAGCUGUUUUCAUCAAGGCUAAUGUUUAGCUGAAUGUUACAUUGCUGAAAGAAACUUUAGCACUUACAUCCAUUUUGAUAUGGGCCUGAAACAGGGACAUGUGCUUAACUUUUCCAGUCCUCGUUUACGUUAAAUUGGCUUAGACUGGAGAAAAAUGUCUAAUCACUUGU